rnacentral:sRNA from 1 species
GAGCGAAGCGAGAGAACGUUGCGCCAGCAACGGCCCGCAGGGCGAGCCACGAAGUGGCGAGUAAUCCUCUGGCACCGACCA